rnacentral:lncRNA from 1 species
GGGUGGUUGACGAAAAAAAAAUGGAACAUUGGGUGGAGUCGUGGAGACCACGUAAUUUACUUUGUGAGGUUGUGUACUUAAUUGCUUUGUACUCACGUGAUGCGUUGUUAAGGGGCCUUGUAUAAGUUUAUACUAUAUUUCAAGUGCAUUUGGAUUAAUCUUAUAAAAAUGCAACCGUAGUAUAUGCUACGGUAUGCUGAUAUUAAAAACAUACGCUAGUUUUUGAAACCGUCCCCAGUUUGAUGUUUCAUACCCAACAUGCGCAUCACCGUUCACAAAAACACAAUUAUGCUGAUAUGCUCCAUGCCUCCACCUUCACUUUAAUUAGUUUAUUAUUGACGAUACAAACUUUUUUUAAAAUUACUUAUAAAUACAGAUUAC